rnacentral:lncRNA from 1 species
GGGUAAAGUUCAGUGACUUGAACUUCAAAAGAAUGGAGGUUUAUGAGAGAGGAAAGAGGGUGUUUCAAUGGCGAGAACGAAGGAUCCUGACCCCACCUCCAUUCAGAGCAUACGAGGUUGUGAAAAGAAAGGUUGCCACUACUGAGAGAGCUGCAGGGAGUAUCUGAAGGCACUGGAAUGCAGCAAUGCUUCUAGAACUGCAGAGGUUUAUUCUGGAUAAAAUAAUUGCAAUUAGAUUGUAAGCCAUCAGGAGUGCAAGUAAGAAGAUCAAUUAAGGGGCCAUGGAAAGUUCCAGGUGCAAAGCCUCCCAUUUUGCCUUGAGGACCAUAGCAAAUACCUCCUUUCUGGAUGGACAAGGGAGACCCUUGUCAGCAAGAAUUGUGCUACAGUCUCCCAGCCUAACCACAAGGACACACAAGGACUAGAACAUUCGCUCUGCUUCUACACAGCAUUGGCAAGAGUUUGAACACCUCUUUCUCAAACCAACAGCAAGAGUUGCCCAGGAAGUGCAUUCACUAACAUACUCCCCUAAAUAUUCUUGUGUGAAAAGAAGAGAUAUGUUGCCAUGAAUGGGUCUUUCAGUUGGUAUUUGUAGGACUGCAAAGUUGCAAAGCUGGCAACAUGGUAAUAGCUUAGAGUGUUAAAUUUUGUGAUUUACUACUUGAUAUGGUAGCACAAAAUUAGAACUACAAGAAGAAUAAAGGCUUGGUCACCUUACCUGUAAGAUCUACUAAUGACAAUAACUUUAUAGAGAAAAUUGCUCCUCUUUAAGCAAUGCCUCAUCUGACUUGAUGCUCUCUGCUGCAGAAGGUGAAAUUGCAACAAUUACAAACUUGAUCUUGGCUGUGACCCCUGAAUUGACCUUUUGAAGGAACCUGGAUUAUGUCUGAAUCUAUUAUCUCUGCAAGGAGACCAGCUGUCUUCAGAAUUGCUUUUGGGGCCCCGUAAUGUCAUCGUGAAAUUGCAGUUAGUAAUCUUGCCAACAAUUUCCAGAUUUGGUGCAGAUAAGCUUGAACACAUUUGACUCUUUGGUUUCCAAUGUUAUUUAGAGAAUUGGAUGACUUAAAGCAUUUAUUUUUUUCAACUCAAUUCUUAUCAUAAUCCAUCAACAUCACUGUGUUUUUAUUCUCUAUUUCAUUUUUAUAUGAUCCUAUUAGUUGAGAGAAACACAAG